rnacentral:rRNA from 1 species
GACGAACGCUGGCGGCGUGCCUAAUACAUGCAAGUCGAACGCUUCUUUCCUCCCGAGUGCUUGCUCUCAAUUGGGACGAGGGGUGGCGGACGGGUGAGUAACACGUUGGUAACCUAUCCAUCAGAGGGGGAUAACACUUGGAAACAGGUGCUAAUACCGCGUAACAGUUUAUGCCGCAUGGCAUACGCGUGCAAGUCGCUUUCGGGUGUCGUUGAUGGAUGGACCCGCGGUGCAUUAGCUAGUUGGUGAGGUAACGGCUCACCAAGGCCACGAUGCAUAGCCGACCUGAGAGGGUGAUCGGCCACACUGGAACUGAGACACGGUCCAGACUCCUACGGGAGGCAGCAGUAGGGAAUCUUCGACAAUGGGCGAAAGUCUGACCGAGCAACGCCGCGUGAGUGAAGAAGGUCUUCGGAUCGUAAAGCUCUGUUGGUAGGGAAGAACAAGAGUGUGAGUAACUGAACGUCCCCUGACGGUAGCUAAACAGAAAGCCACGGCUAACUACGUG